rnacentral:lncRNA from 1 species
CCGGCGCRAGGCCUCGCCGGGCUUCGCGGCUGACCCUCUCCCCAACAGGGUCCMCCCGGCCGUGCCGGCCUCCCCGGCUCCGACGGGACCCCCGGACCCCCCGGCACCUCCAUGAUGCUGCCGGUGAGUGGGGCRGAGCGGGGUGGGACGCGCGGCUGGCGCGGCCGAAGCCGCGGUCUCUGCCGGGCGCGUGCGGAGGACGUCCGGGACGGCGGCCUCCCCGUCCCCGACGGCCUCCCUCUGCCUGUCGCAGUUCCGCUUCGGGAGCGGCGGCGGAGACAAGGGCCCCGUGGUGUCGGCGCAGGAGGCCCAGGCUCAAGCCAUCCUGCAGCAGGCCCGGCUGGCCCUCCGCGGCCCGCCGGGACCCAUGGGCUACACCGGCCGUCCCGGCCCCAUGGGGCAGCCUGGCAGCACCGGCAUGAAGGGCGAAUCCGGCGACUUCGGCCCCCAGGGUCCCCGAGGUCCUCAGGGCCUGACCGGACCCCCAGGAAAGCCUGGCCGGAGGGU